rnacentral:rRNA from 1 species
UACGAAGGGGGCUAGCGUUGUUCGGAAUUACUGGGCGUAAAGCGCACGUAGGCGGAUCGAUCAGUCAGGGGUGAAAUCCCGAGGCUCAACCUCGGAACUGCCUUUGAUACUGGCAAUCUCGAGUCCGGAAGAGGUGAGUGGAAUUCCUAGUGUAGAGGUGAAAUUCGUAGAUAUUAGGAAGAACACCCAGUGGCGAAGGCG